rnacentral:rRNA from 1 species
AUGAAGUUGGAUUCGCUAGUAAUCGCGCAUCAGCCAUGGCACGGUGAAUACGUUCCCGGGCCUUGUACACACCGCCCGUCAAGCCAUGGGAGCCGGGGGUGCCUGAAGUUCGUGACCGCAAGGAGCGACCUAGGGCAAAACUGGUGACUGGGGCUAAGUCGUAACAAGGUAGC